UGGGGAAUCUUAGACAAUGGGCGAAAGCCUGAUCUAGCCAUGCCGCGUGAGUGAUGAAGGCCCUAGGGUCGUAAAGCUCUUUCGCCAGGGAUGAUAAUGACAGUACCUGGUAAAGAAACCCCGGCUAACUCCGUGCCAGCAGCCGCGGUAAUACGGAGGGGGUUAGCGUUGUUCGGAAUUACUGGGCGUAAAGCGCACGUAGGCGGAUCAGAAAGUUGGGGGUGAAAUCCCGGGGCUCAACCCCGGAACUGCCUCCAAAACUAUUGGUCUAGAGUUCGAGAGAGGUGAGUGGAAUUCCAAGUGUAGAGGUGAAAUUCGUAGAUAUUUGGAGGAACACCAGUGGCGAAGGCGGCUCACUGGCUCGAUACUGACGCUGAGGUGCGAAAGUGUGGGGAGCAAACAGGAUUAGAUACCCCCGUAGUCC
rnacentral:rRNA from 1 species